rnacentral:tRNA from 1 species
GGCCGGUUAGCUCAGCGGUUUGAGCGCGAUGCUGACAACAAUGACAGCAACGAGGUCGCGGGUUCGAUUCCCGCUCAGUCCC